rnacentral:rRNA from 1 species
CUGGAAUUCAGCCCUUAGAGUUUGAUCCUGGCUCAGGAUGAACGCUAGCUACAGGCUUAACACAUGCAAGUCGAGGGGCAGCGGGAUUGAAGCUUGCUUCAAUUGCCGGCGACCGGCGCACGGGUGAGUAACGCGUAUCCAACCUUCCGUACACUCAGGGAUAGCCUUUCGAAAGAAAGAUUAAUACCUGAUGGUAUGAUGAGAUUGCAUGAUAGCAUCAUUAAAGAUUUAUCGGUGUACGAUGGGGAUGCGUUCCAUUAGGUAGUAGGCGGGGUAACGGCCCACCUAGCCAACGAUGGAUAGGGGUUCUGAGAGGAAGGUCCCCCACAUUGGAACUGAGACACGGUCCAAACUCCUACGGGAGGCAGCAGUGAGGAAUAUUGGUCAAUGGACGAGAGUCUGAACCAGCCAAGUAGCGUGAAGGAUGAAGGUCCUACGGAUUGUAAACUUCUUUUAUAAGGGAAUAAACCCUCCCACGUGUGGGAGCUUGUAUGUACCUUAUGAAUAAGCAUCGGCUAACUCCGUGCCAGCAGCCGCGGUAAUACGGAGGAUGCGAGCGUUAUCCGGAUUUAUUGGGUUUAAAGGGAGCGCAGACGGGUCGUUAAGUCAGCUGUGAAAGUUUGGGGCUCAACCUUAAAAUUGCAGUUGAUACUGGCGUCCUUGAGUGCGGUUGAGGUGUGCGGAAUUCGUGGUGUAGCGGUGAAAUGCUUAGAUAUCACGAAGAACUCCGAUUGCGAAGGCAGCACACUAAUCCGUAACUGACGUUCAUGCUCGAAAGUGUGGGUAUCAAACAGGAUUAGAUACCCUGGUAGUCCACACGGUAAACGAUGGAUACUCGCUGUUGGCGAUAUACUGUCAGCGGCUUAGCGAAAGCGUUAAGUAUCCCACCUGGGGAGUACGCCGGCAACGGUGAAACUCAAAUGAAUUGACGGAAGGGCGA